rnacentral:miRNA from 1 species
CAAGCUCGACUCUGUGGGUCUG